rnacentral:rRNA from 1 species
UGCUAGUCMUGCUUCAGCCAAAACGAAGCGCGGCACACAGCUCAGUAACACGUGGCUAAUCUGCCCUUGGGAUAGGAAUACCCCCGGGAAACUGGGGCUAAUUCCCAAUAGGUGAAGAACUCUGGAAUGAGUCUCCACCAGAAAAGAGCUUACGUUAUGCUCGUAAGUUUCGCCCAAGGAUGAGGCCGCGACCGAUCAGGUUGUUGGCGAGGUAAUGGCUCACCAAGCCUUUUACCGGUGCGGGCCGUGGGAGCGGGAGCCCGGAGAUGGGUACUGAGACAAGGACCCAGGCCCUACGGGGCGCAGCAGUCGCGAAAACUUUGCAAUAAGCGCAAGCUUGACAGGGCUAUCCCGAGUGCCAUCCGCUGAGGAAGGCUUUUACCCAGUCUAGAACGCUGGGGGAAUAAGGAGAGGGCAAGUCUGGUGUCAGCCGCCGCGGUAAUACCAGCUCUCCGAGUGGUGUGGAUGUUUAUUGGGCCUAAAGCAUCCGUAGCUGGCUAAGUUAGUCCCUUGUUAAAUCCACCGAAUUAAUCGUUGGAUUGCGGGGGAUACUGCUUGGCUAGGGGACGAGAGAGGCAGACGGUAUUUUCGGGGUAGGGGUGAAAUCCUAUAAUCCCGGGAAGACCACCAGUGGCGAAGGCUGUCUGCUAGAACGCGCCCGACGGUGAGGGAUGAAAGCUGGGGGAGCGAACCGGAUUACAUACCCGGGUAGUCCCAGCUGUAAACGAUGCAGCUAGGUGUUUGGACGGCCACGUGCCGUUCUAGUGCCGCAAGGUAAGCCGUUAGCCUGCCGCCUGGGGAGUACGGCCGCAAGCUGAAACUAA